rnacentral:rRNA from 1 species
AACGAGUUAGGGUCUUCUAGGCCCGAUCUCCAACCCUUUGUAUAAUCACCCUGUUGCUUUGGCGGGCCCGUCUUUAACCGGACCGCCGGGAGGUUUCAAACCCCUGGCCAGUGCUCGCCAAUAGCCCUUCAUAAACCCUUGUAACCAUGUUAAAUCUGAAAAUACUUAAAUAGACUAAAACUUUCAACAACGGAUCUCUUGGUUCUGGCAUCGAUGAAGAACGCAGCGAAAUGCGAUAAGUAAUGCGAAUUGCAGAAUUCAGUGAAUCAUCGAAUCUUUGAACGCACAUUGCGCCCUCUGGUAUUCCGGGGGGCAUGCCUGUUCGAGCGUCAUUACAACCCUCAAGCUCUGCUUGGUCUUGGGCGUCACCACCCGGUGCGCCUCAAAAACAGUGGCGGUGCCGUCUGGCUUCAAGCGUAGUAAUUUCUCUCGCUCCGGAGUCCAGGCGAGUGCUCGCCAGAACCCCCAAUUUAUCAAGGUUGACCUCGGAUCAGGUAGGGAUACCCGCUGAACUUAA